rnacentral:rRNA from 13 species
CCGUCGUGAGACAGGUUAGUUUUACCCUACUAAUGACGUGCUGUCGUGAUGGUAAUCCAGGGUAGUACGAGAGGAACGCCUGGUUCACGCCUCUAGUAAUGCCUUUGGUGGACUCGCCAGUGGGGCAAAGCCACGCGUGUCGGAUAAUAGCUGAACGCCUCUAAGCUAGAACCCGUGCCUCAGAACGAGAGCUCUUGGUCACCGGUGUUUGAUUUACAUUAGACGCGCUGGCGUCCAGAGUCUUCAUGGAAGGUCGCAGGCCGGUAUGGAAGCAUGCCCCAGCCUUGGCCUUGAAUGAUAUACGCAUUGGUGAUCGUCAAUCACUUGUAGACGACAAGUCCGGAUCAGGAGGCUGUACCCGGUAGAGCAGACUUGUUGCUGCGAUCCGCUGAGGCUG